GCCAAGAGGCUAAAGCAUGCUUCCCGAAAGCUCACCUGAUAUAUGGGGAUAAAGGAAGGGGAGUGUGGAUGCCCAGCCAAAUGGAGGUUAUGGACAAGCAGAAGAUGAGACAGAGACUCCCAUUUUCCCACCCAGGUUCUUCACCCUGUGGACUGGGAGACACGCCAGCCUCCUUUUCCAUCUAAGAAAUUGCGGCAGCUGUGACUACUCAGGGCAGAAAUGUUUGGAUACAAGCUGGCAUGGAUCAUCCGGAAAGAUCUAGAGAGAUUCACCGCAACAGCAAGGAAAUGCCAGUUCCUUCCUGUAAGCUUUGCCUCAUGAGUCAAGGUGGAGGAGACUGAAGUCCAGGGACCUUGGCCUGAGAAACUUUUACAGUUUUUACAAAGGUAUUUAAAACAGAUAUUCACACCAAACAUUUGAUGAUAGUAAAUCAUAAAAUAUUUCAAAACCAUUCAUUGGUAUACAUGCAAAUUUUCCAUUUAUUAGAGAUAAAAGUAAGUCCAUGUAUUAAUGAGAUGGAUGUGUUUAUUUAUUUUUUACCUACAGAAUUAAACCUUAGGGGCUAGAGAGCUGGUUCAGUGGUUAAGAACACUUGUUGUUCUUGCAGGGGACCUGGUUUGAUUCCCAGCACCAACAUGGUGGCUCACAAUUUCACAUCUACUCCACAAGCAGGAAGCAGAGAGAGAGAUACCUGGGAGUGGCAUGGGUUUUUGAAACCUCAAAGCCUCCUCUCAGUGAUGCAUUUCCUCUAACAAGACCACACCUCCUAAUCCUUCUCAAAUAGUUCCAUCAACUGAGGACCAAGCCUUUAAAUAUACAAUUUGAGGGGCCAUUCUCAUCCAAGGCACCACACACAAACUUAAACAAACAAAUAAAUAAAGGUGUGUGCUAUCAUACCCAGCUUUGUUUAAGAAAUAAUUAAGUGAGGCAGUGGUCUAC
rnacentral:lncRNA from 1 species